rnacentral:rRNA from 1 species
UACCUGAACUGAUAUUGACGCUUAAGUACGAAAGCGUGGGGAGCAAAUAGGAUUAGAUACCCUAGUAGUCCACGCCGUAAACGAUCUAGACUAGUUGUUGUUAUAAAACAGUGACGCAGCUAASGCAUUAAGUCUAGCGCCUGGGUAGUAUGCACGCAAGUGUGAAACUCAAAGGAAUUGACGGGGACCCGCACAAGUGGUGGAGCAUGUGGUUUAAUUCGACGAUACGCGAAGAACCUUACCUACGCUUGACAUACUUGGCAAAGCCAUAGAGAUAUGGUAGAGGCAAACCAAUGUACAGGUGGUGCAUGGUUGUCGUCAGCUCGUGUCGUGAGAUGUUCGGUUAAGUCCGGUAACGAGCGCAACCCCUUUCUUAUGUUACUAACAUUUAGUUGAGGACUCAUGAGAUACUGCCUGGGCAACCAGGAGGAAGGUGGGGAUGACGUCAAAUCAUCAUGCCCCUUAUGYGUAGGGCUACACACGUGCUACAAUGGCUAUUACAAAGAGUUGCGAUGUCGCGAGGCGGAGCUAAUCUCAAAAAAAUAGUCUCAGUUCGGAUUGGA